rnacentral:rRNA from 1 species
GAUGAACGCUGGCGGCGUGCCUAAUACAUGCAAGUAGAACGCUGAAGGAAGGAGCUUGCUCUUUCCGGAUGAGUUGCGAACGGGUGAGUAACGCGUAGGUAACCCGCCUGGUAGCGGGGGAUAACUAUUGGAAACGAUAGCUAAUACCGCAUAACAGUAGAUGUUGCAUGACAACUAUUUGAAAGGGGCAAUUGCUCCACUACCAGAUGGACCUGCGUUGUAUUAGCUAGUUGGUGAGGUAACGGCUCACCAAGGCGACGAUACAUAGCCGACCUGAGAGGGUGAUCGGCCACACUGGGACUGAGACACGGCCCAGACUCCUACGGGAGGCAGCAGUAGGGAAUCUUCGGCAAUGGACGGAAGUCUGACCGAGCAACGCCGCGUGAGGGAAGAAGGUUUUCGGAUCGUAAAGCUCUGUUGUAAGAGAAGAACGAGUGUGAGAGUGGAAAGUUCACACUGUGACGGUAUCUUACCAGAAAGGGACGGCUAACUACGUG